rnacentral:rRNA from 1 species
GAUCCUGGCUCAGGAUGAACGCUAGCUACAGGCUUAACACAUGCAAGUCGAGGGGCAUCAGGAAGAAAGCUUGCUUUCUUUGCUGGCGACCGGCGCACGGGUGAGUAACACGUAUCCAACCUGCCCUUUACUCGGGGAUAGCCUUUCGAAAGAAAGAUUAAUACCCGAUGGGAUAAUCAUUCCGCAUGGUUUGAUUAUUAAGGAUCGUAAGGAUGGAGUGCGUCCAUAGUUGUGUG